rnacentral:rRNA from 1 species
CCUACGGGCGGCUGCAGUGGGGAAUAUUGGACAAUGGGCGAAAGCCUGAUCCAGCCAUGCCGCGUGUGUGAAGAAGGCCUUCGGGUUGUAAAGCACUUUCAGUGGGGAAGAAAGCCUUGGGGCUAAUACCCUCGAGGAAGGACAUCACCCACAGAAGAAGCACCGGCUAACUCCGUGCCAGCAGCCGCGGUAAUACGGAGGGUGCGAGCGUUAAUCGGAAUUACUGGGCGUAACGCGCGCGUAGGCGGUCUGAUAAGCCGGUUGUGAAAGCCCCGGGCUCAACCUGGGAACGGCAUCCGGAACUGUCAGGCUAGAGUGCAGGAGAGGAAGGUAGAAUUCCCGGUGUAGCGGUGAAAUGCGUAGAGAUCGGGAGGAAUACCAGUGGCGAAGGCGGCCUUCUGGACUGACACUGACGCUGAGGUGCGAAAGCGUGGGUAGCAAACAGGAUUAGAUACCCCGGUAGUC